UAAAAUGUAAAGUAAACUUUAUUAUCCUUGAACCACAAAAUAGAUUUCUUUGGUUGUACAAAUUUCACUAGUUACAGUCUUGAUGCGCUAAUUUUCCCUCAGAGGCUCUCAGGAGAGAAUGGGAGAGAACCCAGAGCCUGGCACCAGGUACCGCAAACAGAAAGAAAGAGAGAAUCACAAGUUAGUCACCAAACCCAAUCCAGGAUUGUUUCCAAAAUUGCUCUUGUUAAAAAGCAAAUGCUAAAAUUAGAUUUAAAAAGGAAAAGCUCAAAUUGCUGAUGAUGGAAGCAGCCACAGCUGCGGUUUGAGAUUAUCACAGUCCCCCCUUCAAAGCUCUGUAAAAUCAAAACAUACAAAAUCAGUUAAAAUGAUCCACUGGAUUUUGGCAUGAAGGGAGAGUAUCAACUAAAAGAAAAACUGCAUCCAGUUCUUUCAUUCUGCACAUAUACAAGCAGAAGUGCCUGUCACUCCCAAGCCACCGAAAGGCUUAAGGUCCAACUCUGGUCUUACUGCUGGAGGGGUUCAGCAGGGAGCACCAAUGUGUCAGGUUGGACAGGUCGGGUCCCUGUCAAGCUCGGGCACCUUUCUCCCUGUUAGAGGCAUUAGAAAAACAGAAAACAAAAAAAGGGGGAUAUUUUAUUUCAGUAGUGGGCAGCAGAGACCGAUUUCAACACUAUCAGCAGCAUCUGUCUCCUCCACAUCUGCAGAGCUCACUUGAUACAGAAUCUGUUCACAGCCCUUGUUCCACCCAUGGAAACUGGGAAUCACACCCUGCUCAUUUUCAUUUUCUCCCUCCUGCCUGGGCAAGCAUGUAUCCCCCCUGUUCCACAUGGAAAGGGGUCUGAAGCCAACAAGUUGGCUAAGAGUAGAACUGUGUAGUUAUUGCAAGGUAUAGGCCAGACCCAUCCUACUUCACUCUGCUCCUCAAGAGCCCCAAGCUGGGCGCUCCGUAACGUCACAUUUCACUUCACAGCUAGCAGAUAAGUCACCCACCAGUAUCCUCCUACCUGUAAGACCCCUUUACUCCUAACCUGACCCCAGCAACUCCACUUCCUAUCCUUCGCCAUUUCCUGAAUCCUAACCCACUAUCUUAUCUGCUGUUUACACCUCCUACCUCUGCCACUGUAACCUAAUCCCCAACUACUCUGCUCUCUACUGCUGUCACACAUGCACACUGCUACACUCUGCUACAGCUGCUCGGCUCCUCUCUCAUUUCUGCCCCAGAUCAGUUCCAGUGCUGACAGAAGAUGGAUACCUGGCCUCCUCUGACACUCAGUCAGUGUGCUUGUUGAGAGGUUCACACUGCACGCACAAGAUACACACCUUAUGUGUACACCCAGGUAGUACCUGUCCACCGGGAUAGCACAAAAUGCUGGCAGGAGCAGUCUCCUAUGCAGGACAGGUUGCUGUGCUCACAGAGUCAAGUGGCACAGAGCUGGCAUAGGCUCCUGCUCAGUUGGUUGUCUUUGCUUGAGCACACAGGCACCAAUGUCAGAGGGAGGCAUUUCACUGGAAUUCCUUUUGUUUUUUUCUUUAUUUUACUUCUUUUUGCCUCCAAGCCACCCAUUUCCACACACUCCCAAAACCAAGUGAGGUGACACAGGGGCAGAGGUGGGAGGAGAUGCUUUUUGGCAAAAGACUGGAAAUUAAGUAGGAGCAACGGCAGGCUGGACCUUCCUUCUAACUCAUGCCAGAGGAGAAGCUCCCACAGUAAACCACUAAAAAAUCCAGGUUGAGGAAGUAACAGCUGGAACCCAACACACUCUCACACUCAUAUUCUCCCUGUCCUACCCUUUCCCCACACACACUAUUUACAGGCUAACAAGCUGCAGCUGCCCACGGUCCUACCCACACCUCCUCUCAAUUUGCCAUCAGUAAGCCUAGUGUUGUCCCAUUUUUUUCAGGACAUGCCCCAGUGCAUCAUUGGGUGAGAAAAGAGGGCGGUUCACAGCCUUAAAGGAAGUUAGUUGACCACAGUGCUCCCUGGGAUGCUCAGUUCCCAUCUAGAGUCCAGGAGGCAGCAGUGUGGGCAGUCCAGUGCUGCCCCUGGAGCACAGGAAGCUCAAGAGGCCUGUGCUGGGCUAUUCCAUUGCCCGGGUCCAUCAGAUCUUCUACGUGGGGACAGCAGC
ensembl:lncRNA